rnacentral:rRNA from 1 species
AGAGUUUGAUUAUGGCUCAGAACGAACGCUGGCGGCGUGCCUAACACAUGCAAGUCGAACGGGAAAAGCUCCUUCGGGGGCCUAGUACAGUGGCGCACGGGUGAGUAACACGUAGGUAAUCUACCCUUCGCUGGGGAAUAACUCCGGGAAACCGAAGCUAAUUCCGCAUACGUCCCCGCUCAUGCGUGAGGGGAAAGGUGGCCUCUCCUUGGAAGCUAUCGGCGAUGGAUGAGCCUGCGUAUCAUUAGCUAGUUGGUGAGGUAACGGCUCACCAAGGCUUCGACGAUUAGCUGAUCUGAGAGGAUGAUCAGCCACACUGGAACUGAAACACGGUCCAGACUCCUACGGGAGGCAGCAGUGGGGAAUAUUGCGCAAUGGGCGAAACUGUGACGCAGCAACGCCGCGUGAGUGAUGAAGGCCUUCGGGUCGUAAAGCUCUGUCGAGAGGGAAGAAACUCUGAUGGUACUAAUACACCAUCAGUUUGACGGUACCUCCAAAGGAAGCACCGGCUAACUCCGUGCCAGCAGCCGCGUAAUACGGAGGGUGCAAGCGUUGUUCGGAAUUACUGGGCGUAAAGGGCGUGUAGGCGGAUCGAGAAGUCGGGUGUGAAAGCCCUGGGCUCAACCCAGGAAGUGCGCUCGAAACCAUCGGUCUUGAGUUUCGGAGGGGAGCGGGGAAUUCCCAGUGUAGAGGUGAAAUUCGUAGAUAUUGGGAGGAACACCGGUGCCGAAGGGGCCGCUCUGGACGAAUACUGACGCUAAGRMGCGAAAGCGUGGGUAGCAAACAGGAUUAGAUACCCUGGUAGUCCACGCUGUAAACGAUGUGCACUAGGUGUYSGGGGUAUUGACCCCCCCGGUGCCGCCGUAACGCAUUAAGUGCACCGCCUGGGAAGUACGGCCGCAAGGUUGAAACUCAAAGGAAUUGACGGGGCCCGCACAAGCGGUGGAGUAUGUGGUUCAAUUCGACGCAACGCGAAAAACCUUACCUGGGCUUGACAUCUGGGGAAGCUCCUAGAGAUAGGAAUGUGCCUUCGGGGAACCCCAAGACAGGUGCUGCAUGGCUGUCGUCAGCUCGUGUCGUGAGAUGUUGGGUUAAGUCCCGCAACGAGCGCAACCCCUGCCCUUAGUUGCUAACGGGUUAUGCCGAGCACUCUAGGGGGACCGCCGGUGUUAAACCGGAGGAAGGUGGGGAUGACGUCAAGUCCUCAUGGCCUUUAUGCCCAGGGCUACACACGUACUACAAUGGCCGGUACAAAGGGUCGCAGAGCCGCGAGGUGAAGCUAAUCCCAAAAAACCGGUCUCAGUUCGGAUUGAUCUCUGCAACUCGAGAUCAUGAAGUUGGAAUCGCUAGUAAUCGCUGAUCAGCAUGCAGCGGUGAAUACGUUCCCGGGCCUUGUACACACCGCCCGUCACACCACGAAAGCUGUUUAUACCAGAAGUGCGUGACCCAACCGCAAGGAGGAGCGCCCCAAGGUAUGAGCAGUGAUUGGGGUGAAGUCGUAACAAGGUAACC